CUUAGAACAGUAGAGGUCUCCACAUCCCUCAGUAGAAGUAAAAGGCAUCUGUUGCAAGUCAAUUAAUAAACUCAUUUACAAAGAGAAAUCUCAAAACGGGAUCAGAAUCUAGGUUCCCAAGUGAGCGAUUUUCCAGUUUCAGCUAAAAGAACAUCUCUACGAUCUCAGGAGGUUUGCAACCUUUUCAAGGGGGAGAAAGGUCAGCAGAUGGCACUUUUUGGAGAUGAUGUCAGUUUUCCUCUAUGGAGUAUCUAACAAGCUCAUUCUGCCCUGUCAGAAGCAUCCACCAGUGACAGACACUGAAGCAUUAAGAAAACCCGCUGAAGGACUUAUUGGUUUGCCAGUGCAGACACAGCAUUCAUAAAUGUGCUUUGUUCCAAUAAUGGCACACUGGAGAUGAACAUAUGGCCUUCACAUGUCCUCCCUUUCAAGAUCCCAACACCACAAUCUUUUUACCUAGUGACACUCUAGCAG